rnacentral:rRNA from 1 species
AGUGAACGCUGGCGGUAGGCCUAACACAUGCAAGUCGAACGGCAGCACAGUAAGAGCUUGCUCUUACGGGUGGCGAGUGGCGGACGGGUGAGGAAUACAUCGGAAUCUACUUUUUCGUGGGGGAUAACGUAGGGAAACUUACGCUAAUACCGCAUACGACCUACGGGUGAAAGCAGGGGAUCUUCGGACCUUGCGCGAUUGAAUGAGCCGAUGUCGGAUUAGCUAGUUGGCGGGGUAAAGGCCCACCAAGGCGACGAUCCGUAGCUGGUCUGAGAGGAUGAUCAGCGACACUGGAACGGAGACACGGUCCAGACUCCUACGGGAGGCAGCAGUGGGGAAUAUUGGACAAUGGGCGCGAGCCUGAUCCAGCCAUACCGCGUGGGUGAAGAAGACGUUCGGGUUGUAAAGCCCUUUUGUUGGGAAAGAAAAGCAGCAGGUUGAUACCCCGCUGUUCUGACGGUACCCAAAGAAUAAGCACCGGCUAACUUCGUG